CCUACGGGGGGCUGCAGUGGGGAAUAUUGCGCAAUGGGCGAAAGCCUGACGCAGCGACGCCGCGUGAGGGACGAAGGUCUUCGGAUUGUAAACCUCUUUCAGCAGGGACGAAGCGAAAGUGACUGUACCUGCAGAAGAAGCACCGGCUAACUACGUGCCAGCAGCCGCGGUAAUACGUAGGGUGCAAGCGUUGUCCGGAUUUAUUGGGCGUAAAGAGCUCGUAGGCGGUUUGUCGCGUCGGAUGUGAAAACCCAAUGGCUUAACCUUGGGCCUGC
rnacentral:rRNA from 1 species